rnacentral:rRNA from 1 species
UACAGAGGGGGCAAGCGUUGUUCGGAAUUACUGGGCGUAAAGGGCGCGUAGGCGGCCUGUUAAGUCGAACGUGAAAUCCCUGGGCUCAACCCAGGAACUGCGUCUGAUACUGGCAGGCUUGAAUCCGGGAGAGGGAUGCGGAAUUCCAGGUGUAGCGGUGAAAUGCGUAGAUAUCCGGAGGAACACCGGUGGCGAAGGCGGCUUCCUGGACCGACACUGACGCUGAGGCGCGAAAGCUAGGGGAGCAAACGGG